AUGGCCAAGCUCAUCUGUAACUUCACGGAGACGGCACCAUCGAUGGUGGCCGCUGCCGUGACUUACUCGAAGCCUCGAUUGGCCACAUUUUGGCACUACGCCAAGGUUGAGCUGGUUCCCCCAACCCCUGGUGAAAUCCCUACAGCUAUUCAGAGUGUGAAAAAAAAAACCAUUCAAAGUGCUAAAACUGGUAGCUUCAAACACCUUACAGUGAAGGAAGCUGUGCUGAAUGGUUUGGUGGCCACUGAGGUGUGGAUGUGGUUUUAUAUCGGAGAGAUCAUAGGCAAACGUGGCAUUGUUGGCUAUGAUGUUUGAAGACCAAUCUUUAACUUCUGAUUUGAGUUCUUAUUUGAAUGUUCUUGGACCAUGUGUAACGGGACUGCUAUCUGAAUAA
rnacentral:lncRNA from 1 species